UACAGAUUCAGAAUCAAGAGGGAUGUCCUGGAAGAAAAACAAACAAAGGCCCACUAGGUGGAGUGAAAUGGAUCAAGAGCAUUAUAUUCAAUUUCACCUUAAGUUUUCUCAAAAGGAGGAGCAUUAAGAAUCAGCCACCUUAGUACAUAAUUAAAGAAUUAUCCUCAGACUUUCCAGUUCUAAUCUUCUAGAUUUACUGAGAUCUGAUCCUGUGCCCACUGGUGAAACAUCAGAGGAAUGGGAUCCUAUAGGUGAAGAUCAUCAGCUUAUAAAAGCCCGUUGCCAUCAGCGGGGUUGGCAGGGAAAGGAUGAAGAUUGGUUAAGAGGCCAGUGGACUCAGCAUUGAAAUGAAUCAUGGACUUGAUGCCAAAAGACUCAGUUUGUGUCCCAGCUCUCUCAAGCAAAGCCCCCAAAUCCCAGUUUCCUCAUCUAUCAAAAAGGAUAAAAAUACUUAAUGGACAAA